AUUGAACGCUGGCGGCAGGCCUAACACAUGCAAGUCGAGCGGAGCGGCGGACGGGUGAGUAAUGCCUAGGAAUAUGCCUGGUAGUGGGGGAUAACGUCCGGAAACGGGCGCUAAUACCGCAUACUAUCAGAUGAGCGUAGGCCGGAUUAGCUAGUUGGUGGUGUAAAGGCAUACCAAGGCGACGAGCCGUAACUGGGCAGAGAGGAUGAUCAGUCACACUGGAACUGAGACACAGUCCAGACUCCUACGGGAGGCAGCAGUGGGGAAUAUUGGACAAUGGGCGAAAGCCUGAUCCAGCCAUGCCGCGUGUGUGAAGAAGGUCUUCGGAUUGUAAAGCACUUUAAGUUGGGAGGCGUUACCAACAGAAUAAGCACCGGCUAACUUCGUGCCAGCCGCCGCGGUAAUUC
rnacentral:rRNA from 1 species